rnacentral:lncRNA from 1 species
GAGAAACACAAAUUCAAACACCAGAAAGACAGGGCCAUUUCUGGUUUCUGGUAUUGUUACAGAGGAAAAAAGUGACAGGGCCCACUGUGGGGGUUGAGGGGGAGAUACAAGGCAGGCUGGCGCCUGCCGCACUGCUUGUGGGAGUGGAAAUUGGGGGCCAGAGCGCACUGGUGACGUGGCUGUCACGUGACCAAGAGCCGCCUAGAGCACAAGUCCUGCUAGUCGCCUCCGUCUGGGUACCAGCCCCCUAUUACUCUGCAGGCGCGUGAAGAAAGAAGGAAACUAGCUCGGACUGUGCAGGUCGGUGCGAGGGUGGGCGCUGCUUCAGAGGAGGUAUGGGUGGAAGAGGGCCAAGAACGCCACAGAUCCGAGUUCAGGCCGAUCACAGCUGGGUCCUUUCUCGCCUACUUUCUAAAUACUGCCACCAACCCCCACCCCACCCCGUGCUCAUUUUAGUAGAGAGAAGUGGCGGGUUUCGGGUGGGGGUGAGGGGAGUGAAUGGCGUUUCCAGAGACUCCGAGAAAAGAAAGGUUCCAGUGUCCCGGGUGCUGGUCCGUCCACCAAGCACUCCGUCCCCUCGGUCCCUUGUCUGUUUGCAGGUUUGUAGGUCUGUUGGCCUGUAGGUUUCGGCACAAGUCUCAGCGAGAGAAGGAGAAAACUGCCUUGGUUGGAACCUUGCAGGCUCUAUCCUCUAUCACUGUGGAGGGACCACUGACAACAGAAGACAAGGGAAAACCAAGGAAUUUACCUGACUUUGGUAGAGAUUCAUCACAAGAGAGCUACAAGAGCCUAGAAGAAGCUAAAGACUGCUACCCUCCAUCCUUACUCACCCUGGACCUGAGAGACCUCUUCAAUCAGGAAGAGAUGACAGUGAGAAGCUGGAGGAGGAGGAGGAAGAGGAGUGGGACGAUGACCAGGAGCUGGAAGAGGAGGAGCCUGAUAUUUGGUUUGAUUUUGAAACUAUGGCUCGGCCCUGGAGUGAGGAUGGGGAUUGGACUGAACCUGGGGCCCCAGGUGGCACUGAGGACAGGCCCUCAGGGGGAGGCAAGGCCAACCGAGCACACCCAAUAAAACAGCGGCCAUUCCCCUAUGAACAUAAAAUACUUGGAG